UCUAAAGCACGAAGUUUUCUUUGCUAUGGCCACCCAGAUACGCGUCCCCCGCUGAGAGAGCGAUGAAGCAGUGCACCAAAGAAAUUGUACCCAGACUGUUCGCUCCAUUAAAAUCAAUGGCUCAAAUUGCCUCUAACAAAGCUUCAACACGAUCCAACGGUCCAUGUUAUAUAGAUCCGCCGCUUCAACGCUCAUCAUCCGCCCAUCGCUCCUCCGUCCCGCGCGUGCCCCCUCUCCUGCGCACGGCAGCCCAGCUUCGAACCCCAGGUGUUACUCGAUUUUCAUUUUUAGGUGGUGCUCCUAUUCCCUCCUAGCCUGCCCUCCCCGCCGCCGCCUGGACACGCGCCCUCUCGGGCCUCCGCCCGCGCGCCGCCUGUGGACUCAGGCCGCCGCCGGGACGCGCGCACCCUGCGGCCGCCCGCCGGGCCCCGCCUCUGGGCUCCAGUUGUGCUCCGCCGCCUGAUGGAUCCGGCCUCCGCCCGCGCUCGCCCGCGCAUGCCGCCGCCGCUCACCCGCGCCGGCCGCCGCCACUGCGCACUCGCCCGCAUCGCCUGACACCACGCGCUCCGGCAUGCAUUGCUCUGUCCCUCAGCCCCGAAACCUAGGUCGUCUUCUCCACCUCCGUUUUAGGUCGCUGGAGGCCGUCGGGCUCCGGAUCCGCCCUCUCCCUCACCGGAUCUACGCCUCCCUUGGAUGGAUCUGCAUCGACGCAGUGUUCUUCCGGUUGGUCGUGGUCCCUGUUUUCAUCGCCUUGGAGCUUGGCCCGUACGUCGGGUUAGGGUUGGCUCGGCCUUCGUGGUCCGUGGGGUUGGGGUGCCGCCGAUGUGGCGAUCGCCGGCGAUUGGGAGGCUGUUACCAGCGGCGGGGAGGGGGAUCUUUGGGGAGGAUUCUCCACCGAUGGCCGCAGAUUCGCUCUGCAUCAUCGCGGGGCCAUGGUUUUCGAACAAUCAAGAGGGAUUUAAGGUGUAAUUUUUGUUGCUGUGUGAUCUUGUACAGAUUGAGGGGAUCGUGAAGCAGCUUGCAACCGUUGGGGAGCAUGAGAAGAUUUCAGCGAUCAUCUCGCUACUCAUCAACUAUUUCACCUACUUGCCACAAGCGAACCAUCGGAAGGUUUGCUUAGACAGCUGUGGUUCAUGCUUCUGGUGUUGACAGGGUCUGAUUUGUUGAGUUCUGUGGUGCUUUGAUGUUAGCAGGGAGCUCCUGGCCGAGGAGGUCGACGACGACGGCUCAUCCUCCUGCGUCGACACUUUCCUCAGGUCCGAACCCACCCCUGGCCCUCACCCCUUUCUUACCAUUCCUUGCGACAUCGGGGUUUCGCGGUGAUAUAGUUGUAUAAUUGAUGGUUUUAGUAUUUCUGAAAAUACAUGGCACUCUGAUCAUCCAGAGGAGAUGGAGAUUAGGAUUGGGAAAGUUGGCAACCUUAAGAACAUAGCAAACUGUAAAUAUAGCCUCAAGCGUGGAAUAGUAUUCCUUGAAGAAUUUCAACCGGAGAUAAUUAGUGCUCACUUGACACUCAUUGGGUGUUCGAUUGCUCCAAAUAUUAAAGGUAAUGCUAUGAAACCUUUGCAGGUGUUGUUUUUGUUUCCUGAAGCUUUCCUACCUCUUCGAGUAAUUCAGCCUAGAUUAGUAGAAGCUAUUGACAAGGCUGUUAAUCAUGUUGAUGCGCCAUGCAUGAUAGGUGUGGUGGGUGCCACCUCUCCUUGUUGUGAUGCCUUUUUACAUUUGUAUUUAUAAUUGACAAUGAUCCAAUGCCAUUUUCAUGCUUAUCAAAGUGCAAGUGAUGGACAUCAUACUAUUGCUUCUGUCGGAACAACAGCAGAGGUGUGACUAUUAUUUU